CAUCAUCAUAUUAUCAUAUAAUGAUGAUGAUGAUGAUGAUAAUAUAAUAAUAAUGAUGAUGAUAAUGAUAAUGAUGAUAAUGAUGAUAAUGGUAAUAUAAUGAUAAUAAUAAUAAUGAUGAUGAUGAUAAUAAUGAUAAUGAUGAUAAUAAUAAUAAUGAUGAUGAUAAUGAUAAUGAUGAUAAUGAUGAUGAUAAUAAUAAUAAUAAUAAUAAUAAUGAUGAUCAUGAUAAUAUAAUAAUAAUGAUAAUGAUAAUGAUGAUAAUGAUGAUAAUGGUAAUAUACUGAUAAUAAUAUUAAUGAUGAUGAUAAUGAUCAUGAUAAUAUAAUGAUGAUAAUGUUGAUGAUGAUGAUAAUAAUAAUGAUGAUGAUAAUAAUGAUGAUGAUAAUGAUCAUGAUAAUAAUCAGAAUGAUAAUAAUAAUAAUAAUAAUAAUGAUCAUGAUGAUCAUGAUAAUAUAAUGAUGAUAAUGAUGAUUAAAUGAUGAUAAUGGUAAUGUAAUGAUAAUAAUAAUAAUGAUUAUGAUAAUGAUCAUGAUAAUAUAAUGAUGAUAAUAAUGAUGAUAAUAAUAAUGAUCAUGAUAAUGAUGAUGAUGAUGAUAAUAAUGAUGAUAAUGAUAAUGAUGAUGAUAAUAAUGAUAAUAAUAAUGAUAAUGAUGAUAAUGAUAAUGAUGAUAAUAAUGAUAAUACUAAGGAUAAUGAUGAUGAUGAUGAUAAUAAUGAUAAUUAUGAUAAUUAUUUUGACCCGUGUAGUGAUAAAUGUUAAUAUUUUAUUGUGAAUGUAUUUUUAAUUGGUUUAUUGUGGAAAUUUGGGCUUGAUCCCUUGUUAGCAGCUCCAAGUCCCUGCGGGGAGAUGGCCAUCUGUCGGGAGGGCUUUGAUGGUGUUCCUGCCUGGCAUUAGGAAGGUGGAGGACCACAGAGGUAUUUGGAGGCUGGGUGGCCAUCUGUCGGGAGGGCUUUGAUGGUGUUCCUGCCUGGUAUUAGGAAGGUGGAGAAUCACUGAGGUAUUUGGAGGCUGGAUGGCCAUCUGUCGGGAGGGCUUUGAUGGUGUUCCUGCCUGGUAUUAGGAAGGUGGAGAAUCACUGAGGUAUUUGGAGGCUGGGUGGCCAUCUGUCGGGAGGGCUUUGGUGGUGUUCCUGCCUGGCAUUAGGAAAGUGGAGAACCAUUGAGGUAUUUGGAGGCUGGAUGGCCAUCUGUCGGGAGGGCUUUGAUGGUGUUCCUGCCUGGUAUUAGGAAGGUGGAGAAUCACUGAGGUAUUUGGAGGCUGGGUGGCCAUCUGUCGGGAGGGCUUUGGUGGUGUUCCUGCCUGGUAUUAGGAAGGUGGAGAAUCACUGAGGUAUUUGGAGGCUGGGUGGCCAUCUGUCGGGAGGGCUUUGGUGGUGUUCCUGCCUGGCAUUAGGAAAGUGGAGAACCAUUGAGGUAUUUGGAGGCUGGAUGGCCAUCUGUCGGGAGGGCUUUGAUGGUGUUCCUUCCUGGUAUUAGGAAGGUGGAGAAUCACUGAGGUAUUUGGAGGCUGGAUGGCCAUCUGUCGGGAGGGCUUUGAUGGUGUUCCUGCCUGGUAUUAGGAAGGUGGAGAAUCACUGAGGUAUUUGGAGGCUGGGUGGCCAUCUGUCGGGAGGGCUUUGGUGGUGUUCCUGCCUGGCAUUAGGAAAGUGGAGAACCAUUGAGGUAUUUGGAGGCUGGAUGGCCAUCUGUCGGGAGGGCUUUGAUGGUGUUCCUGCCUGGUAUUAGGAAGGUGGAGAAUCACUGAGGUAUUUGGAGGCUGGGUGGCCAUCUGUCGGGAGGGCUUUGGUGGUGUUCCUGCCUGGUAUUAGGAAGGUGGAGAAUCACUGAGGUAUUUGGAGGCUGGAUGGCCAUCUGUCGGGAGGGCUUUGAUGGUGUUCCUUCCUGGUAUUAGGAAGGUGGAGAAUCACUGAGGUAUUUGGAGGCUGGGUGGCCAUCUGUCGGGAGGGCUUUGGUGGUGUUCCUGCCUGGCAUUAGGA